rfam:Angiostrongylus costaricensis strain Costa Rica genome assembly, scaffold: ACOC_scaffold0000756
GGCUUUGUAGUGUUGCGGUAAGCACCCUGCUCUUUGAAUCCACUAACGCGAGCUCGAAUCUCGCCGGACCUC